UUUUACCAUGUUACACUGCUGCAGUUGACUUUUCAAAGGGGUGGAGCAGACCCCACCCCUCAGCAUGUGUGCCAAGAAUCUGCCCUUUUCAGAAUCUCCCUUUGCAGUUUAACAGGAGGUGUGGAGCUGCAUUGAAGUAUUCAGGAAGUCUGCUUCCCUCUCCCUCACUUACUGCAGGAUUAACUCAGCACGAGGUGCCCCUCCAGAUCCAGAGGUUGAACGUUUCUGCUCAGGACAGUCUGGAGAAAAACAGGAACUUGCUCCCUCAUAUUGGCUGCAUUCCAGUAUUCAGGCUCAGUUUCAACCCUGCCUGCCUUCACUUCCUCUCCCUCACCACAGUCACUUAUUCUUUCUCAGAAAUGAACGCAGAGCGGACUGACCGCAGAAAAGGAGAAGGGUGUUCUGUUUUUGCGAUGGUGUCUGCAGUUAACAGUACUGUGAGAGUCAGCACUGGCAUGUAUGUAUUUGUCAUCAUUCCUUGA